CCUACGGGUGGCAGCAGUAGGGAAUCUUUCACAAUGGGCGAAAGCCUGAUGGAGCAACGCCGCGUGCAGGAUGAAGGCCUUCGAGUUGUAAACUGCUUUUAUAAGCGAGAAAUAUGAUGGUAACUUAUGAAUAAGGAUCGGCUAACUACGUGCCAGCAGCCGCGGUCAUACGUAGGAUCCGAGCAUUAUCCGGAGUGACUGGGUGUAAAGAGUUUCGUAGGUGGCAUAAUAAGUAGCUAGUGAAAUCUGGUGGCUCAACCAUUCAGACUAUUAGCUAAACUGUUAAGCUCGAGACCGUUAGGGGUAACUGGAAUUUCUAGUGUAGGAGUGAAAUCCGUAGAUAUUAGAAGGAACACCAAUAGCGUAGGCAGGUUGCUGGGACGGUUCUGACACUAAGGCACGAAAGCGUAGGGAGCAAACGGGAUUAGAUACCCCUGUAGUC
rnacentral:rRNA from 1 species